rnacentral:rRNA from 1 species
UCAGUCUUGCAAUUGGAUUGAGAACAAUGUACAACUCUUAUCGAUAAGCCAUUGGAGGGCAAGUCUGGUGCCAGCAGCCGCGGUAAUUCCAGCUCCAAUAGCGUAUAUUAACGUUGUUGCAGUUAAAAAGCUCGUAGUUGAAGUGUGGGUGAUCGCUGUUGUGAGACUUCGGUCUCUCGAUAGUAAGUCACCCCCUUCCAGUAUCCAGUAGUGGGUAUUCACUUACUUACUAUUGUGUGUUGGUCGUUUACUGUGAGAAAAUUAGAGUGUUCAAAGCAGGCGUUUGCUUGAAUAGAUUAGCAUGGAAUAAUAAUUGAAGGCUUUCGUGUUCGAUUUGAUUGGUUUGUUCAUGGAAGCAAGGUUAAAAGGAACAGUUGGGGGUAUUCAUAUUCACUAGUUAGAGGUGAAAUUCUCGGAUUUAUGGAAGAUGAACAAGUGCGAAAGCA